UGACGACUGCAAUGGCCAUCCUACAUGUCAGGCAGUGGAGACUCUUCGAGGGAGUUUUCAGGGGCCAUGGGAGGCCGCACAGUGAGCACCCCCAACAGCCAGCACACUUCCCCCAGCCGUUCUCUUAGUGCUAACUCCAUCAAAGUGGAACUGUACAGUGAUGAGGAGGUGGGCCGUGGCACAGGGCCAGAGGAUGAAAAG